UAACCUAAACUCUAAUUUAUUUUUUUCCUCACCAACCGACCCCUCUCUCUCUCUAGACUCUCUCUACACUUUUUCUUCAUCUCUCUUACUCUCUCCAUCAUGGCUGCCGUCGGCCGGCGACUACACGACCCCUUUCCCUUCCUCCUCUCUACCACCAAAAAAAACCCAACCCUAGUCAUCGUCAUUGCUUCAGAUUCGAGCCACCACUGCCAAACCAAUCAGAGAAAUGCAUCACCAACACCGAUGCCGCUCCCUCGUCUCUUUCUAAUGUGAUCGUCACCCUACAUGGAAAGGUCCUUUAAAUGAUGAAGAAUUAUUGACUAGGAAUCUGAAGACAUUAAAUUUUGUAUUAAGAAAUAAUUGUACAACAAAUUUAUAUUAAUUUUUUUAAAAAAAUAUUAAUAUUAGUGGUUACUAUAAGUUGCCGCUAAAGGUGUAAUUCCUCUAUAUUGAAAUUGCCUAUUGUAGCAAGGUGAAGUCGCCUCUAGUCAUUUUCUGUGACGACUUUGGGUCGCUA